CAGAACGGCGGUGGGGGGAGGCGGUGAGGAGCCUUCGAGGGGAGAUGGUCCGUCCUGUCAGUCGGUGCGUCCCCAUAAAACCUGUCUCGAGGCUUCUGUGGUUCUGAGGGCUGUCCACGUGGUGAGGAACUGAAGGGCGAAUGCUUAUCCCUUUCUCAUCUUCUUCCCAAGAUACCUUCUCCUUGUGUAGAAACGUUGAGCCCAAGGAUUGGGAAUGCUGAAAUUACUAUUAAGUAUGACUUGAGAAUUCAAGUUUGGAAGAGAUCACAUGGCUGGAACAGCUAGGCAAAGAAAGCCAAGGGUGAGAGAAAUUCCCUGGCUUGUUUCCCCUGCUGUCUGUAUAUCCUCCUAGCAGCCAGAGAAGAGCGUUGCUUUGAUUUGGGAGUCCAUUACACCAUGAUAACAAGAUUGCUUCAAGGAACAUGUUCUGGUACGUACAACAUGCUUUUACCUGCACUAGCAGCACUAACAGCGGUGAGCCUAUUGCUGGGGAAGUUCAAGCAAUGAAA